AUCCAGCUGAAGAGUCCCAAUCAGGACGAAACGCGAGUCACACUGGAU
rnacentral:hammerhead_ribozyme from 1 species